AUUUUUUGUAUUUUUUUUUUUUUUUCCUUGGACUCCUGUGUUUUACUGUUAAGGAAUAAUAACGAAAGGAAUGCAUAUGGGGAAUUUUUAAAAGGGAAAAGAAACAAACAAAAAGAUUAAAAUGUGUAAAGCUUGUGCAUGUAACUUAUUGCAUUUCAAAGGAAACCCUUUUUUAUACAAUACGGACAUUUUUUGGCUCAGCUGUGGACACUAUCAUUGGUGCCUUGAAAUCUAUGACCUCAACUUUUCCAGAGACUUUUUUCAAUGUUAUUUUAACCUGUAAAUAAUUGUAGAUAGAGGAAUUAAACUGUAUAUUCUGAAUAAAAUAAAAUUAUUUCGACCAAGAGAAACGUUUCCAAAUUACCCCUUCUUCUAUUAAUAAGAGGGAAGAAGUAUAAUACUAAUUUGCUUGCAGAAAGAAAGUGAGGAAAGAGGAUGGGAGCUGGGAGCUCACAUUCUGUUCCAGUACCGUGCAGUGCCACCACAGUCCGUGAGUGCUGGGAGGAUCCGGUCCUUGCAGGUACCCACGGGCGAGCUGAGGGGCGGCGGUGCUCUCUCCCCGCUGGGAAAGGGGCUCUGGCAAGACCGCGUUCAUCUCAUUCAUAGUGCUUUAAACUGAAGGGAAAGAUGCCCGUCCUGUUGCGAGAAAGCGAAUCUCUCUCGCCUUAAGCCGCCCUGAAUCCUUUCCUGAGAGCAAUUAGCGUCGAGAGCUGCACACUCCACAGCCCAUCAGUCGCCCGUGUGCGCUCGGCUAAUUAUACAAAUUACGUUUCCGUCAAAGGGAGCCACUAAAUAUGAGAAAAGAAUAAAAUGAGGGCCACGCUCCCCUCGCUCCUGCUAAAAGCCUGCAGCGGCUUCGACUGAAGGAGGAACGUUUCAGAGACAAGCAUUCAACCUGCAGUAAGAGAUUCUCCCCUCCCGGAGGUCACUUCCCUUUGCAGAGAGGUUUGGACACAAGAGGUGGAAGUCAAUUUCCCAGGUGGGUCCACCCACCCCUUUCUUUGAGGAGCUGCCGCGGGGCUGUUGGGUUACGGGAACCUGCCGGGGCCGGGCGGACAGCGCAGGAACAGCUCCGGGAAGGCGGAAUGUCGGCAAGCAGCAUGCCGGGCAGAGAUGGGAAUUCGCACGGGAAUCAGGCCACUGGACUAAGCAUCGCUCGCUUCUCUAAGACAGCCAAGUCAUCUCGGCUCGGUUUCCAUGCCGGUCCCUCUCUCUGAUCAAUUUCUCCUCCUCCCAGAGCGGGUUGGUGUUGGGCAGGUCGGGAAAAGCCUGGCAUCCCUCCCCUACAGAGGAUAAGAAAUGCCCUCGCCGGGGCUCCCCGUCGCAUGGCCCCGGCCUCGAUGAACACUCAGAGCCUACGGCCGGCCGCCCCUCCCGG
rnacentral:lncRNA from 1 species